rnacentral:rRNA from 1 species
CCCACGCCGGCGUCGGCGGGCGUAUUUCGCCUCACAGUAGGUCGCCGCGACCCGUUGCUUUUGGGGACGUCGAAGGCCCGGACGGAUUGGUACCCUACCGGCUGGGGAUGCGGCUUCGGCUUCUCCUCUUGUCCGGUGGGCGAAACCGCCGGUGUCCUGGCUGCCCUGCGACGGUCGUAGAGACGAGCCCUCCCCUUCGGGGGGGCGGCUCUCGCGGCGUGCAAAAGGUCGGUGAUCCACCCGACCCGUCUUGAAACACGGACCAAGGAGUCUAACAUGUGUGCGAGUCAGUGGGCGCACUAAACCCAGAGGCGUAAUGAAAGUGACACGGGUUCGGCUGUCGCCUCGUGUGGCAGCCGGACUCAGGGCCGAUCCCUCACCGGUUGCCCUCGCCUCUCUCCCGCGUCUCGGUAAGCCGGGUGAGCUAUUUUCCCCGGCCGCUGCUGCGGGGCUCGGGGGGAGGCGGGGUUGCGAUGGUGUCCGUAAAAAAGAGCCUGCUGUUGCAGGGGGGCGCAGGCCCGGGACUUGCCAGGACGCCGCGAGACUGUCACUUUGCUGUGAGGCUCUCGGGCCGAUCAGCGGGUCAUGCGUGCAGUCGGCAAGUACCAUGAGCAGACAUGUUGGGACCCGAAAGAUGGUGAACUAUGCCUGGCCAGGAUGAAGCCAGAGGAAACUCUGGUGGAGGUCCGUAGCGAUUC